rnacentral:rRNA from 1 species
GAUAAACGCUGGCGGCGCACAUAAGACAUGCAAGUCGAACGGACUUAACCAUUAGUUUACUAUUGGAGCGGUUAGUGGCGGACUGGUGAGUAACACGUAAGCAACCUGCCUAUCAGAGGGGAACAACAGUUAGAAAUGACUGCUAAUACCGCAUAUGCCUUAAUUACCACAUGGUAAUAGAGGGAAAGGAGCAAUCCGCUGAUAGAUGGGCUUGCGUCCGAUUAGCUAGUUGGUGAGGUAACGGCCCACCAAGGCGACGAUCGGUAGCCGGACUGAGAGGUUGAACGGCCACAUUGGGACUGAGACACGGCCCAG